GAUCUGUGUUACAGGUAAAUAUGCUUUAAUAUCUUUUCAUAUAAUCUAAAUUUAAUUACAAAUGUUUUGCUUAUUAUAGAUCGACAAAGAUUUUACUAUCAAGGAUACAACGAAGCUCGCUUUUUAGCAUUGUUAAGAAUGUUGACGCUGUUGUUGUAUCCUGGUACAAAUUUUGUAAUAAUGCUCACUACUUAGCUGUGCUAAGAUAGUUGAUGCGGCUAAAAAUGUGUGUGCUUAGUCGAUCUGUAUUACGGGUUAAUAUGUUUUAAUAUCUUUUCAUAUAAUUCAAAUUUAAUUACAAAUGUUUUGCUUAUUAUAGAUCGACAAAGAUUUUACUAUCAAGGUUACAACGAAGCUCGCUUAUUAGCUUUGUUAAGAAAGUUGACGCUAUUUUUAUAUCCUGGCACAAAAUUAGUAGCAAUGCUCACUAUCUAGCUAUGCUAAGAUAGUUGAUGCAGUUAAAAAUAUGUGUGCUUGACGGAUCUGUAAUACGGGUAAAUAUAAAUUAAUAAUAUUUCAUAUAAUCCAAAUUUAAUUACACAAACAUAGCUUAUUAUAGGUCGAUAAAAAACUUUGCCAUCAAGGACACACCAAAGCUCGCUUCUUAGCAUUGUUAAGAAAGUUGACGCUAUUGUUGUAUCCUGGCACGAAUUAAGUAGCAAUGCUCGCUACUUAGCUAUGCUAAGAUAGUUGAUGCAGUUAAAAAUAUGUUUGCUUGAUCGAUCUGUAUUACGGGUCGAAAAAUGCUGUGCUAUCAAGGAUAUAACAGAGCUCGCUUCUCUACUUUGUUGGGAUAGUUUACACUGGUGUAUCUUUGUAUGAAAUUAGUAGAAUAGCUCACAGCUUAACUAUGUCAAUUAAAACAUGCCAUGACAGUACAAGUGAACGUAGUUCAAUUUCAAUUGUAAUUAUUCCUAAUUUAUAUUUGCAAUUAUUUAUAUCUCAUAGAUUAUAUAUAGUUCAGACGAGACGGCAUGUCAUCUAUUCUUUUUCUUUGUACCCAACAAAAACAAAAUUAGUUAUUGAGGAUACAAGCUUAAUUAUUGGCUUUGUUAAGACAGUAUAUGCUGAUGUUGUAUCCUGGAACAAUUUGAAAAGUUUUAGGUAUAAGUAGCGCGUACCAAAAUUGACGAAAUUUAAGCGGACGGGUGUCUUGCACAAAAUAGCCAUUUACUUAUGUGUUGUGUAGUGAGGUGCUGAUGUAGCUUGAGCAAUAGCCAAAAAUGUUUGCCUUUAAGUCACAACUAGUGUACCAAGUAAUUCUUGUGGGGUUGGCACAUUGAGAUGGAUCAAAAGGACGGGCGUCCUAUACAAUAUGGACUAUCGCUCGGCAUGAUAUAGUGUGGUGUUCAAUAAGUAUAGUUAGUAGUUAGUUAGUUCAAUAAGUAGUGCAAUGAACGUUUCUGUUCAGUUCACAGAUCAGGUAACAUUCGAGCAAACGGGGGUUCUACACAAUUAAGCCGUUAAAACUGGGAAGGACCUGACUUGUACAAAUCGCACUUCAUCAACUAUGCUAAUACACUGUGUAUCCUACUUUGUUGCCUUCUAUCUUUAUCUUACCUGCUAAUUCGAUUAUUGCAUCAACUAUUUUUUGUUGCAGAUUUGUACUUUUGGUUGCAAUUCAAGUUGGUUUUACAUCUAUUAUUCAAAAUUUAUUCUAAUGGGAGACACCGUUUUCGUCAAAUGCAAAAACGCCGAGAACUAUUUCAGAAAGGUGAUAGAAGGCUAGGCGAUUCGACGCAUUAAGGAAUUUAUAUUUAUGCUACAUGACUGUUCGAG